AUGCCAAAGACAAAAACCAAAACCGAAAGUUUCAGCCCUGGCUCCCAGGGUCCCGCAGACGCUUCACGUAGAACCUCUCGGCCACUUGCUUACGUUCGGAGGUGGUUUUUCCCCAGAAACAGGUUUUCUGGUCAAAGGGAAACCUACGAGCAAAGCAGAAGGCUGCCCGGACUCUCCCUGAAGAGGGAGAGGGUCCGCCGGCCUCAAGCCCGCCGCAAGCCCCGCCGCCCCGCCGCCGCUCCCGCCGCCGCUCCCGCCCGGGAGCCCGCUUACUCGCCUGCACCGCGGAGGCCCGCGCCCAGGCCCGCGCCCAGCCCCGCGGCUCCCGCGUCUUCCUCUCCCCUCCGGACACCUCGCGGGCCGCGCCUUCCCCGAGACUGUGCCGGGCGCCGCAGCCCCGCCCCUCGCGUGCCCACGCCCACCGCCCGCGGGCCGCCGGGAGGAGGGCCCCGGCCCGGAGCUCAGGCCCCGCCCACCACGUGCCCACGCCCACCGCCCGCGGGCCGCCGGGAGGAGGGCCCCGGCCCGGAGCUCAGGCCCCGCCCACCACGUGCCCACGCCCACCGCCCGCGGGCCGCCGGGAGGAGGGCCCCGGCCCGGAGCUCAGGCCCCGCCCACCACGUGCCCACGCCCACCGCCCGCGGGCCGCCGGGAGGAGGGCCCCGGCCCGGAGCUCAGGCCCCGCCCACCACGUGCCCACGCCCACGCCCCUGCGCGCGCAGACCUCUGCGGUUAGGCGCUGGGCUGGUCUCGCCAUCGCCGGCCCCAGGAACCCUCCGAGGCCUCCGCGCAGAAGGGAGGGAGGCCCGGAAGGGGCCGACGACCGGCAGUGGCGCAGGGGGACUGUCACCGAGGCAGAGGCACGCUCCCUGCGCUGCUGCUGCUGCUGCUGCGCCUUUCACUGUCCCCGGACGCCUGGGUUGGAGGCGGUGGAUGGGGUCGCCGCCAGGGUGUUUGCUCGGUGCAGACUUGGGUGCUGGGGUGAGGGCUGCAGCCGCGGCUUCUCCGUCCCCGACUGGAGCGCCUAAACCCUGA
rnacentral:lncRNA from 1 species